GGUAAGUACGGUGUAGCAGGAGGGGGAAUACGGAGGGUGCAAGCGUUAAUCGUAAUGACUGGGCGUAAAGCGUGCGCAGGCGGCUUAUUAAGUCAGAUGUGAAAUCACUAAGCUCAACCUAGGAACGGCAUUUGAAACUAAUAAACUAGAGUAUCGUAGAGGGAGGUAGAAUUCCAGGUGUAGCGGUGAAAUGCGUAGAUAUCUGGAGGAAUACCAGUGGCGAAGGCGACCUCCUGGACGAAAACUGACGCUCAAGCACGAAAGCAUGGGGAGCAAACAGGAUUAGAUACCCUUGUAGUC
rnacentral:rRNA from 1 species